CCUACGGGUGGCUGCAGUGGGGAAUAUUGCACAAUGGGGGAAACCCUGAUGCAGCGACGCCGCGUGAGUGAAGAAGUAUUUCGGUAUGUAAAGCUCUAUCAGCAGGGAAGAAAAAAGACGGUACCUGACUAAGAAGCACCGGCUAACUACGUGCCAGCAGCCGCGGUAAUACGUAGGGGGCAAGCGUUAUCCGGAUUUAUUGGGUGUAAAGGGUGAGUAGACGGCGCGGCAAGUCUGAUGUGAAAGGCAGGGGCUGAACACCUGAACUGCCGCUGAAACUGCAGUGCUAGAGUUCGGAAGAGGCAAGUGGAAUGUGUAGUGUAGCGGUGAAAUGCAUAGAUAUUAGAAAGAACACCAAUGGCGAAGGCAGCUUGCUGGGCCGGAUCUGACACUGAGGCACGAAAGCGUGGGGAGCGAACAGGAUUAGAUACCCCAGUAGUC
rnacentral:rRNA from 1 species